rnacentral:piRNA from 1 species
UUCCAACGCUGGGCACUUUCUGAGAG